AGAGUUUGAUCCUGGCUCAGGAUGAACGCUGGCGGCGUGCCUAAUACAUGCAAGUCGAACGGGAAGCCGAUUUUCGGAUUGGCGGAGAGUGGCGCACGGGUGAGUAACACAUGGCUGACCUGCCCUUCAGUGGGGGACAACCAGUGGAAACGCUGGCUAAUACCCCAUACGUUCGCGGGCGUUAGAGGCUCGUGAAGAAACUUCCGGGGCUGAAGGAGGGGGCUGUGGCCCAUCAGCUAGUUGGUAGGGUAACGGCCUACCAAGGCGAGGACGGGUAGGGGGCCUGAGAGGGUGACCCCCCACACGGGCACUGAGACACGGGCCCGACUCCUACGGGAGGCAGCAGUAAGGGAUAUUGCGCAAUGGACGCAAGUCUGACGCAGCAACGCCGCGUGCGGGAUGACGGCCUUCGGGUUGUAAACCGCUUUUCUGUGCGAAGAGGAAGGACGGUAGCGCAGGAAUAAGUCUCGGCUAACUACGUGCCAGCAGCCGCGGUAAAACGUAGGAGGCGAGCGUUAUCCGGAUUUACUGGGUGUAAAGCGCGUGCAGGCGGUGUCGUAAGUGGUGCGUGAAAGCGCUCUGGCUCAACCGGGCGAGGACGUGCCAAACUGCGGCGCUGGAGGUAGGUAGAGGCGUGUGGAAUUCCGGGUGUAGUGGUGAAAUGCGUAGAGAUCCGGAGGAACACCAGUGGCGAAGGCGACACGCUGGACCUGACCUGACGCUAAGACGCGAAAGCAUGGGGAGCGAACGGGAUUAGAAACCCCGGUAGUCCAUGCCGUAAACGAUGCAUACUAGGUGCUGCGGUGUCAAAGUUGCAGUGCCGAAGCUAACGUGCUAAGUAUGCCACCUGGGGAGUACGGUCGCAAGAUUAAAACUCAAAGGAAUUGACGGGGACCCGCACAAGCAGCGGAGCGUGUGGUUUAAUUCGAGGCUC
rnacentral:rRNA from 1 species